GCCUACGGCCAUACCACCCUGAAAGCGCCUGAUCUCGUCUGAUCUCGGAAGCUCAGCAGGGAUGGGCCUGGUUAGUACCUGGAUGGGAAACCGCCUGGGAAUACCAGGUGUUGUAAGCU
rnacentral:rRNA from 1 species